GCUCUACUUUCUUAACGCGGAUUCUUGGAAGAACAUUCCUCAUAUUGCUCCCAUUAACGAGUUUGGAGGGCAUGGAAUCGGGAUUUUUGUAAAUGGUGCAUUGCAUGGGAUUGUGGUUCGUGGAAUCAGGAGUUUGAUCAUGGUAUUCGAUGUAAGAGAUGAGGUCUUUGAUGAGAUUAUGCUGCCGGAAUGUCUGGUUAAUGUUAGUGCUGAUGACUUCCCAAAUACCUUAACACACA
rnacentral:misc_RNA from 1 species